rnacentral:lncRNA from 1 species
GUCUGGCUUCUGAUUUAGCCCCUCCUUAUUGGUCUUAGAGGUGGGAGAGGCAAGGAUGAGGAGGAGGAAGAGAAGAGCGGGGAGGUGGUGAAAUGCUAGGGUUGGUUGUCGGUUCUGCUUCGUGGGUCACGAAGGUGGGGUUUUCUGCUUGAGGGACAGUUGGAGAGGGAGAGGAAAGCUUUGGAAACAGACUGUGGUGGCCGCACUCGCAAGCACCCUUUUCACGGGGUGUCCACAGUGGUGGAUUCUCAAGCUGCGGGGGCGCGGCUGGAAAGAGGUUUGGAGGCAUCCUGCGCCCAUGAAGCCAGCGUGCUCACCCCAGCAACCCUUACCCCAGUAAGGAAGCCAA